AGUGGAUGGGGAGCAACCUAGUUGUGCGUGUGUAAAGGUAGUGCCAAGAAAAGCGAUGAUCAUGUUGAAAAUCAAUUCCCGGUACCCGAAACCGACACAGGUGGGCAAGUAGAGAAUACUAAGGGGCGCGAGGUAACUCUCUCCAAGGAACUCGGCAAAAUGACCCCGUAACUUAGGGAGAAGGGGUGCCACCGAGAGGUGGUCGCAGUGAAGAGGCCCAGGCGACUGUUUAGCAAAAACAUAGGUCUCUGCAAACUCGAAAGAGGAGGUAUAGGGGCUGACGCCUGCCCAGUGCCGGAAGGUUAAAGAAGUUGGUCAGUUUUAGGAUGAAGCUAGCGACUGAAGCCCCGGUGAACGGCGGCCGUAACUAUAACGGUCCUAAGGUAGCGAAAUUCCUUGUCGGGUAAGUUCCGACCCGCACGAAAGGCGUAACGAUCUGGGCGCUGUCUCGGAGAGAGGCUCGGCGAAAUAGGAUUGUCUGUGAAGAUACGGACUACCUGCAUUUGGACAGAAAGACCCUAUGAAGCUUUACUAUAGCUUGGAAUUGUGUUCGGGCUUCCUGUGCGCAGGAUAGGUGGGAGGCGUAGAAGGUAUUCUUGUGGGGAUACUGGAGCCAACGGUGAGAUACCACUCUCAGGAGGCUAGAAUUCUAACUUAAUUAAGGACAGUUUCAGGUGGGUAGUUUGACUGGGGCGGUCGCCUCCAAAAAGGUAACGGAGGCGUACAAAGGUUCCCUCAGACUGGUUGGAAAUCAGUCGAAGAGUGCAAAGGCAGAAGGGAGCUUGACUGCGAGAAGUACAGUUCGAGCAGGGUGGAAACACGGUCUUAGUGAUCCGACGGUGCUGUGUGGAAGGGCCGUCGCUCAACGGAUAAAAGUUACUCUAGGAUAACAGGCUGAUCUCCCCCAAGAGUUCACAUCGACGGGGAGGUUUGGCACCUCGAUGUCGGCUCAUCGCAACCUGGGGCGGAAGUACGUCCCAAGGGUUGGGCUGUUCGCCCAUUAAAGCGGUACGUGAGCUGGGUUCAGAACGUCGUGAGACAGUUCGGUCCAUAUCCGAUGUAGGCGUGAGAAUAUUGAGAGGAGCCUUCCUUAGUACGAGAGGACCGGGAAGGACGCACCGCUGGUGUACCUGUUAUGAUGCCAAUUGUAAACGCAGGGUAGCCAAGUGCGGAGAGGAUAACCGCUGAAAGCAUCUAAGUGGGAAGCCCACCUCAAGAUGAGUAUUCUGGUGUAAGGUCACGGGAAGACGACCCGUAAAUAGGCACGAGGUGGAAGUGCAGAGAUGUAUGAGGCCGAAGUGUACUAAUAGACCGUCGGCUUGAC
rnacentral:rRNA from 1 species